AGUGAACGCUGGCGGUAGGCCUAACACAUGCAAGUCGAACGGCAGCACAGAGGAGCUUGCUCCUUGGGUGGCGAGUGGCGGACGGGUGAGGAAUACAUCGGAAUCUACUCUGUCGUGGGGGAUAACGUAGGGAGACUUACGCUAAUACCGCAUACGACCUACGGGUGAAAGCAGGGGACCUUCGGGCCUUGCGCGAUUGAAUGAGCCGAUGUCGGAUUAGCUAGUUGGCGGGGUAAAGGCCCACCAAGGAGGCGAUCCGUAGCUGGUCUGAGAGGAUGAUCAGCCACACUGGAACUGAGACACGGUCCAGACUCCUACGGGAGGCAGCAGUGGGGAAUAUUGGACAAUGGGCGCAAGCCUGAUCCAGCCAUACCGCGUGGGUGAAGAAGGCCUUCGGGUUGUAAAGCCCUUUUGUUGGGAAAGAAAUCCAGCUGGCUAAUACCCGGUUGGGAUGACGGUACCCAAAGAAUAAGCACCGGCUAACUUCGUGCCAGCAGCCGCCGCAG
rnacentral:rRNA from 1 species